rnacentral:rRNA from 1 species
UACGGGGGGGAGCAAGCGUUGUUCGGAUUUACUGGGCGUAAAGGGCGCGUAGGCGGCCAGCACAAGUCAGUUGUGAAAUCUCCGGGCUUAACUCGGAAAGGUCAACUGAUACUGUGCGGCUAGAGUGCAGAAGGGGCAACUGGAAUUCCUGGUGUAGCGGUGAAAUGCGCAGAUAUCAGGAGGAACACCGGUGGCGAAGGCGGGUCUCUGGGCCGAUACUGACGCUGGAGGAGCGAAAGCGUGGGGAGCGAACAGG